rnacentral:tRNA from 1 species
GGCUGGUUAGCUCAGUUAGUCGAGUGUGGUGCUAACAACGCCAAGGUAGCGGGUUUGAUUCCCGCUCGGUCC